rnacentral:rRNA from 1 species
UACGGAGGGUGCAAGCGUUAAUCGGAAUUACUGGGCGUAAAGGGUGCGUAGGCGGUUCGUUAAGUCUGUCGUGAAAUCCCCGGGCUCAACCUGGGAAUGGCGAUGGAUACUGGCGAGCUAGAGUGUGGCAGAGGAUGGUGGAAUUCCCGGUGUAGCGGUGAAAUGCGUAGAGAUCGGGAGGAACAUCAGUGGCGAAGGCGGCCAUCUGGGACAACACUGACGCUGAAGCACGAAAGCGUGGGGAGCAAACAGG